rnacentral:lncRNA from 1 species
GUUGAUGUGAGUCUGCCAGGCAUGGUGGUACACGCCUGUAAUCCCAGCUACUCAGGAGGCUGAGGCAGGAGGAUCUCUUGAGCCCAGGAGUUCAAGGCUGCAAUGAGCUAUGAUCACGCCACUGCACUCCAGCCUGGGUGACAGAGUGAGAGUCAAAACAAAACAAAAUAAAACAAACAAAAAGCCUGGUUAAGGUGAAUCUAACUGGGCUUUGGCUUACCUUCUCUUUUUUGGGAGGUAGAAGGUUUUUGGAAGGUAGAAGGAUGUAUUGCAAUGAUUCCCCAGCUUCAUUCACUAGCACACCACCUUCAUGAUUUUUGACGUGUCCACAUAUCAGUUGUACUAUUAUUUUCUUAAUUAGACUUUCUUAUUUUCUUAUCUUCACCUAUGAUAUUUUUUAAUGGAACCAUGGCUUUGCAAUACAUAUGAUGUUUUUUCAAAUAUACAUUAAAAUGCAAAACUAUUAAAAUAAUUUUUUUUUUACCACCUAAGAUUAUUUUAUGUGUACUACCUUAGGAAACAAUGUCAUGUAGGCUUUGGAAUCAGGCAGGCUUGUUCAGGUAAUACCUGUAUGUCCUUGGGCAAGCCACACUCUCUAACCUCCAAUAUUGUCAUAAUAAGUGUGUCUUCCUUAGGAUUUUGGUGAGGGCUAGAUGGGUCAGUUUGUGUGUGUGUGUCUGUGUGUGUGUUGCGUGUCUGUGUGUGUAGAUGUGGGUCUCACUGUGUUGCUCAGGCUGGUCUCAAACUUCUGGGCUCAAAUGAUCCUCCUGCCUCGGCCUUCCAAGUGCUGGAAUCACAGACGUAAGCCACUGCACCCAGCCCUAGAUGGGAUGAUUUAAACACUGUGUUUCAACUGCCUUGCACGUGGGUAACACCUAGUAAGUACUCAGUCACUGUUAACCAUUGCUGUUCCUGCAUUCUCUAUUUCUGCACUUUGUCUGCUUCUCUGUAUUUCCUUUCUUUCCUUUUUGGUCUGUUUGCAGCAGGAACCAGCAUGGAAUGGGUUUGCUUACUGGAGCAUAUGAAAUGUAUGUAAAGCCCUCAGGGACCAGGACAGAAAGCUAAGUGUGGUGCCUCUGCGGGGUCCGGGUGUGUAUAAUAGAAUCUAAUGAUGUGACUUGUUAUCCCAUCGUGCUUGUGUGGUUGAGAUAAUAACAUUGUUUCUAUAGAACCUGCUUUAAAGGGUCAAAGCCCUCAUGGACAUUAUCUAGCUCAUCUCUCUUAAGUGUGGACAAGUGUUAUCGUCCUCGUUUUUCAGGUGGAGAAAUCAAGACCCCAACAGAGGGCUGACCAGGUUACUCAGCAAUGCUGUGGCAGAAACACACAAAAGAGUCCGUGGCUUGUGAUUCACAGGCCAAGACGCUGCCUUGGCGCAGCACUCCCCGUGUUGACGUGGAAGGUGGUGAUGGCAGUGAGCAAAAAAGUGAUCCAUGCACAGAUGCAUUUGUGAACGCCGGAUGAAACAAAGUUAAAAUAGGUGGGUUUUUUUUUUCUGUAGGAUUUCUCAGUCUUUCAUAAGAUAACAUGCAUGAUGAUUCUCCGAGGGAGAUAGAGCAUACAUAAUUUUCCACAUGUGAGCAUUAAGUAUACC